GGAAAAUUAAAGCCAGAUACUGCAGUACCAGUACUAGGCAAAAUUAGUAAAGAAUCCACCAAUGACGAAAAUAGUAAUUGCACCACCAAGAACACAGAAAAUAUGAAAACAAGUGAUAUGAGCAAUGAUUUUACAGGUGUGAGCUGUUUUUAUAGAUUCGAGUGGUGGUGGAAGUUUUAACAUUGGAGAAAAAACACCACAUUCAAAGUUACUUCCUGUGAGUUGUCUCAAGACACCUGAGACUUCCCCAUCGCACUCCAUAUUCCAGAUAACACCAUGUAAUAGUGGGGAAGUUCUGCAAUAUGUUCAUCAACAGAAGACAAAAGAUGACAAAACUGUCAAAAAGAAAGAUGCAAAGUUUAUUCAUACCUCAACAGAAAAUCAGGCUGUAAAUGAUAUAUAUGCAGCACUGCUAAAGGGAGAACCUAUCCCAAAACAUAUAAUAUCGAAAGCAAUGAAUGUUGGCAGUGAUGAUAGUUCAUCUGAAUAUAUUCAAUGAUUUAAUGAGCAUAGAGACCUGGGCCAUAGUAUUUUAUGUGCUGUGCAGUGCUGGCUUGUAUGA